GAAUACUUUAAAUCAUUGAACUUCAUGUUUCUUCUCUUACAGGACUGAUCUCAUCAUCUGCUUAUAAAUAUGUUUCAGUGGAAUGGUGUCCAAUACCAAACCAGACAACUAGCCCCUUAUCAAUCGAGACAGCUUUGUAUCCUAAGAUGAGAGCCGAUAAAUUAUUUCCUAAGAUGACACCAAGGAAGAAAUGAAUCACAGAAUAUUUCCAUCAAGAAGUUGUUGGCAGUUUGAGGAAGGCAAAUAAUUCAGUGAUUAAGUCAAACAGUUCUUGUUAUAAGCUGUUUAUGUUUUUCCAACAAAAUUCAAUGCUCAUAAACAUUUAGAUAGAGUUUAUUUCUUGCCACCUAAAGGAAUGAUCUACAAGACCAUAAAGGAAUGAUCUCCCAGGCCAGAAACUCAUUUCUUUCUGCCCAAAGGAGAUGCCAAUAUCUUUCUGGGUCAAGCAGAACAGCUCUUUCACCUCCCAGAGUUCACAGCUAAGGACACGCAUGGCAAUCUUCCUCAACACUGAGCAGUACUGCUAAAACCGUAUUAUUCACACUGAAGCACUGGGGCCUUACAGAGCAGCUGCUCUGUAAAUUCACCAGAGCAAGG
rnacentral:lncRNA from 1 species